UUGCGACCACAUCACGUUCAAACACGGUUUUCCGUACGGUCACCGAAGUUAAGCAACGUCGAGCCUAGUCAAUACCUAGAUGGGUGACCGUUUGGGAAUACCAGGUUCUGUCA